rnacentral:rRNA from 1 species
AGCGAACGCUGGCGGCGUGCCUAACACAUGCAAGUCGAACGUGAAAGGGAGCAAUCCCAAGUAAAGUGGCGUACGGGUGAGUAACACGUAGGUAAUCUACCCCAGAAUCUGGAAUAACCGGCCGAAAGGCUGGCUAAUACUGGAUAGAGCGACGGAAUCCGUAAUUGGGUUUUUCGGGAAAGGGAGCCUGUAAAAAGGCCUUCGUUCUGGGAUGAGCCUGCGUCCCAUCAGCUCGUUGGUGAGGUAAAAGCUUACCAAGGCAAUGACGGGUAGCUGGUCUGAGAGGACGAUCAGCCACACUGGAACUGAAACACGGUCCAGACUCCUACGGGAGGCAGCAGGGGGGAAUCUUGCGAAAUGGACGAAAGUCUGACGCAGCAACGCCGCGUGAGUGAAGAAGGCCUUCGGGUUGUAAAGCUCUGUCGAGUGGGACGAAAAUGCUUGGAGUUCACAGCUCCAGGAACUGACGGUACCACUAAAGGAAGCACCGGCUAACUCCGUG